CCUACGGGUGGCAGCAGUGGGGAAUAUUGGGCAAUGGAGGCAACUCUGACCCAGCAACGCCGCGUGAAUGAUGAAGGUCUUCGGAUUGUAAAGUUCUGUGAUGGGGGAUGAACACAAUGACGGUACCCCAAUAGCAAGCCACGGCUAACUACGUGCCAGCAGCCGCGGUAAUACGUAGGGGGCAAGCGUUAUCCGGAAUGACUGGGCGUAAAGGGUGCGUAGGUGGUUUAGUAAGUUGGCGGUGUAAUUCCGGGGCUGAACCUCGGCGCUACCGCCAAAACUAUUAGACUAGGGUGCAGGAGGGGGUAGUGGAAUUCCCAGUGGAGGGGGGGAAUGGGGAGAAAAUAGGAGGAACAUCAGGGGCGAAGGCGACUUACUGGACGGUAACUGACACUGAGGCACGAAAGCGUGGGGAGCAAACAGGAUUAGAUACCCCAGUAGUC
rnacentral:rRNA from 1 species